GUGAGGAAUUUUCCGCAAUGGGCGAAAGCCUGACGGAGCAAUGCCGCGUGAAGGAUGAAGGCCUAUGGGUUGUAAACUUCUUUUCUCAGAAAAGAAUUAUGACGGUAUCUGAGGAAUAAGCAUCGGCUAACUCUGUGCCAGCAGCCGCGGUAAGACAGAGGAUGCAAGCGUUAUCCGGAAUGAUUGGGCGUAAAGCGUCUGUAGGUUGUUUAAAAAGUAUUCUGUCAAAGAUUAGGGCUUUACCCUAGAUAGGCAGAAUAAACUUUUAAGCUAGAGUUUGGUAGAGGCAGAGGGAAUUCCCGGUGGAGCGGUGAAAUGCGUAGAUAUCGGGAGGAACACCAAAGGCGAAGGCACUCUGCUGGGCCAAUACUAACACUGAGAGACGAAAGCGAGGGGAGCAAAUGGGAUUAGAUACCCCGGUAGUCC
rnacentral:rRNA from 1 species